GACGAACGCUGGCGGCGUGCCUUAUACAUGCAAGUCGAACGAGAAAGCUCCCUUCGGGGGGUGAGUAAAGUGGCGAACGGGUGAGUAAUACGUAGGUAAUCUACCCAUAGAUUGGGGAUAACGCGCCUAACGGUGCGCUAAUACCGAAUAACGCAUUAAGAUGUUGGUUUUAAUGCCAAAGGUGGUUCGCAAGAACUAUCGUCUUUGGAUGAGCUUACGGCCCAUUAGCUAGUUGGUAGGGUAACGGCCUACCAAGGCUACGAUGGGUAGCCGGCCUGAGAGGGUGUCCGGCCACACUGGGACUGAGAUACGGCCCAGACUCCUACGGGAGGCAGCAGUAAGGAAUAUUGCGCAAUGGUCGAAAGACUGACGCAGCAACGCCGCGUGGGUGAUGAAGUUCUAUGGAACGUAAAACCCUGUUAGGAGGGACGAAUAAUAUAAAGCUAACACUUUAUAGUUGACGGUACCUCCAAAGAAAGCCCCGGCUAACUCCGUGCCAGCAGCCGCGGUAAUACGGGGGGGGCGAGCGUUGUCCGGAAUCACUGGGCAUAAAGGGCGUGUAGGUGGAAUCGUAAGUUAGAGGUGAAAACUAGCAGCUUAACUGUUAGCCUGCUUCUAAGACUGCGGUUCUUGAGUGCGGAAGAGGGAAGUGGAAUUCUUGGUGUAGCGGUGAAAUGCGUAGAUAUCAAGAAGAACACCGGUAGCGAAGGCGGCUUCCUGGUCCGUAACUGACACUGAGGCGCGAAAGCGUGGGGAGCAAACAGGAUUAGAUACCCUGGUAGUCCACGCUGUAAACGUUGGGUACUAGGUGUUGGACUUUAUAGUUCAGUGCCGAAGUAAAUGCAUUAAGUACCCCGCCUGGGGAGUACGAUCGCAAGGUUGAAACUCAAAGGAAUUGACGGGGGCCCGCACAAGCGGUGGAGCAUGUGGUUCAAUUCGAUGCAACGCGAAGAACCUUACCGGGGUUUGAAAGGCAAUCGAAGAUUGUUGAAAGACAAUGGUCCUUCGGGACGAUUGUACAGGUGCUGCAUGGCUGUCGUCAGCUCGUGCCGUGAGGUGUUGGGUUAAGUCCCGCAACGAGCGCAACCCUUAUCCUUAGUUACCAUCAGUUUGCUGGGGACUCUAAGGAGACUGCUCCGGAUAACGGGGAGGAAGGUGGGGAUGACGUCAAGUCCUCAUGGCCCUUACAUCCCGGGCUACACACGUGCUACAAUGGCCAGUACAACGGGAAGCAAAACUGUGAAGUCCAGCAAAUCCCUAAAAACUGGUCUCAGUUCAGAUUGUAGUCUGCAACUCGACUACAUGAAGUCGGAAUCGCUAGUAAUCGCGGAUCAGAACGCCGCGGUGAAUACGUUCCCGGGCCUUGUACACACCGCCCGUCACGCCAUGGAAGUUGGUAGCACCCGAAGUCGCUGGUCCAACCCUCUGGGAGGAAAGCGCCGAAGGUGAAAUCAAUGACUGGGGCG
rnacentral:rRNA from 1 species